GUUUGAUCCUGGCUCAGGACGAACGCUGGCGGCGUGCCUAAUACAUGCAAGUAGAACGCUGAAGAGAGGAGCUUGCUCUUCUUGGAUGAGUUGCGAACGGGUGAGUAACGCGUAGGUAACCUGCCUUGUAGCGGGGGAUAACUAUUGGAAACGAUAGCUAAUACCGCAUAACAAUGGAUGACACAUGUCAUUUAUUUGAAAGGGGCAAUUGCUCCACUACAAGAUGGACCUGCGUUGUAUUAGCUAGUAGGUGAGGUAACGGCUCACCUAGGCGACGAUACAUAGCCGACCUGAGAGGGUGAUCGGCCACACUGGGACUGAGACACGGCCCAGACUCCUACGGGAGGCAGCAGUAGGGAAUCUUCGGCAAUGGGGGCAACCCUGACCGAGCAACGCCGCGUGAGUGAAGAAGGUUUUCGGAUCGUAAAGCUCUGUUGUAAGUCAAGAACGAGUGUGAGAGUGGAAAGUUCACACUGUGACGGUAGCUUACCAGAAAGGGACGGCUAACUACGUGCUAGCAGCCGCGGUAAUACGUAGGUCCCGAGCGUUGUCCGGAUUUAUUGGGCGUAAAGCGAGCGCAGGCGGUUUGAUAAGUCUGAAGUUAAAGGCUGUGGCUCAACCAUAGUUCGCUUUGGAAACUGUCAAACUUGAGUGCAGAAGGGGAGAGUGGAAUUCCAUGUGUAGCGGUGAAAUGCGUAGAUAUAUGGAGGAACACCGGUGGCGAAAGCGGCUCUCUGGUCUGUAACUGACGCUGAGGCUCGAAAGCGUGGGGAGCGAACAGGAUUAGAUACCCUGGUAGUCCACGCCGUAAACGAUGAGUGCUAGGUGUUGGAUCCUUUCCGGGAUUCAGUGCCGCAGCUAACGCAUUAAGCACUCCGCCUGGGGAGUACGACCGCAAGGUUGAAACUCAAAGGAAUUGACGGGGGCCCGCACAAGCGGUGGAGCAUGUGGUUUAAUUCGAAGCAACGCGAAGAACCUUACCAGGUCUUGACAUCCCGAUGCUAUUUCUAGAGAUAGAAAGUUACUUCGGUACAUCGGUGACAGGUGGUGCAUGGUUGUCGUCAGCUCGUGUCGUGAGAUGUUGGGUUAAGUCCCGCAACGAGCGCAACCCCUAUUGUUAGUUGCCAUCAUUCAGUUGGGCACUCUAGCGAGACUGCCGGUAAUAAACCGGAGGAAGGUGGGGAUGACGUCAAAUCAUCAUGCCCCUUAUGACCUGGGCUACACACGUGCUACAAUGGUUGGUACAACGAGUUGCGAGUCGGUGACGGCAAGCUAAUCUCUUAAAGCCAAUCUCAGUUCGGAUUGUAGGCUGCAACUCGCCUACAUGAAGUCGGAAUCGCUAGUAAUCGCGGAUCAGCACGCCGCGGUGAAUACGUUCCCGGGCCUUGUACACACCGCCCGUCACACCACGAGAGUUUGUAACACCCGAAGUCGGUGAGGUAACCUUUUGGAGCCAGCCGCCUAAGGUGGGAUAGAUGAUUGGGNNNAAGUCGUAACAAGGUAGCCG
rnacentral:rRNA from 1 species